UUCCUACGGGGGGCAGCAGUGAGGAAUAUUGGUCAAUGGACGGGAGCCUGAACCAGCCAAGCCGCGUGAGGGAAGAAGGUACAGCGUAUCGUAAACCUCUUUUGUCAGGGAACAAAGGCGGGGACUAGUCCCCGGAUGAGGGUACCUGAAGAAAAAGCAUCGGCUAACUCCGUGCCAGCAGCCGCGGUAAUACGGAGGAUGCGAGCGUUAUCCGGAUUUAUUGGGUUUAAAGGGUGCGCAGGCGGUCUGUUAAGUCGGCGGUCAAAGCCCGGGGCUCAACCCCGGCCCGCCGCUGAAACUGGCCG
rnacentral:rRNA from 1 species